rnacentral:rRNA from 1 species
GACGAACGCUGGCGGCGUGCCUAACACAUGCAAGUUGAGCGACGAACCAGGGCUUGCCCUGGGGCAAAGCAGCGAACGGGUGAGUAACACGUGGGUAACCUACCCCGCUAACCGGGACAACCCGAGGAAACUCGGGCUAAUACCGGAUGUGCUCACUGGACUUCGGUUCAGUGCGUAAAGGAAGCUUCGGCCUCCGUAUCGGGAGGGGCCCGCGGCCCAUUAGUUAGUUGGUGAGGUAACGGCUUACCAAGACCGCGAUGGGUAGCUGGUCUGAGAGGACGAUCAGCCACACUGGGACUGAGACACGGCCCAGACUCCUACGGGAGGCAGCAGUGGGGAAUCUUGCGCAAUGCGCGAAAGCGUGACGCAGCAACGCCGCGUGGGGGAAGAAGGCCUUCGGGUUGUAAACCCCUUUCAGGAGGGACGAAGGUUCGGCGGUGAAUAGCCGCCCGGACUGACGGUACCUCCACAAGAAGCCCCGGCUAACUACGUG